rnacentral:rRNA from 1 species
ACGGCUCAGUAACACGUGGACAACCUACCCUAUGGAGGGGGAUAACCCCGGGAAACUGGGGAUAAUACCCCAUAGACUAUGAAUGCUGGAAUGCUUUGUAGUUGAAAGGUCCGCCGCCAUAGGAUGGGUCUGCGGCCGAUUAGGUUGUUGUUGGGGUAACGGCCCAACAAGCCUGUAAUCGGUACGGGUUGUGGGAGCAAGAGCCCGGAGAUGGAUUCUGAGACACGAAUCCAGGCCCUACGGGGCGCAGCAGGCGCGAAAACUUUACAAUGCGGGAAACCGUGAUAAGGGAACUCCGAGUGCCCGUAAAAUCGGGCUGUCCAUCUGUUUAAAUAACAGGUGAAGAAAGGGCCGGGCAAGACCGGUGCCAGCCGCCGCGGUAAUACCGGCGGCUCGAGUGGUGGCCACUAUUACUGGGCUUAAAGCGUUCGUAGCUGGUCUGUUAAGUCUCUGGGGAAAUCUACUGGCUUAACCAAUAGACGUUUCAGGGAUACUGGCAGACUAGGGACCGGGAGAGGUGAGAGGUACUCCAGGGGUAGGAGUGAAAUCCUGUAAUCCUUGGGGGACCACCUGUGGCGAAGGCGUCUCACCAGAACGGCUCCGACAGUGAGGGACGAAAGCUGGGGGAGCAAACCGGAUUAGAUACCCGGGUAGUCCCAGCCGUAAACGAUGUGCGUUAGGUGUAUCGAUGACCACGAGUCAUCGAGGUGCCGAAGAGAAAUCGUGAAACGUACCGCCUGGGAAGUACGGUCGCAAGGCUGAAACUUAAAGGAAUUGGCGGGGGAGCAC